rnacentral:rRNA from 1 species
GACAGCAGCAGCCGCGGGAAUACGUAGGUGGCAAGCGUUAUCCGGAAUUAUUGGGCGUAAAGCGCGCGUAGGCGGUUUUUUAAGUCUGAUGUGAAAGCCCACGGCUCAACCGUGGAGGGUCAUUGGAAACUGGAAAACUUGAGUGCAGAAGAGGAAAGUGGAAUUCCAUGUGUAGCGGUGAAAUGCGCAGAGAUAUGGAGGAACACCAGUGGCGAAGGCGACUUUCUGGUCUGUAACUGACGCUGAUGUGCGAAAGCGUGGGGAUCAAACAGGAUUAGAUACCCCGGUAGUCCCUGUCUCUUAUAC